GAUGAACGCUGGCGGCGUGCUUAACACAUGCAAGUCGAACGGAAAGGCCCUGCUUGCAGGGUGCUCGCGAGGAGAAGGAGAGAGUAACACGUGGGUGAUAUGCACCUUACGUUGGGAUAAGCCUGGGAAACUGGGUACAAUACUGGAUAGGUCCAUGCAGUAGGUGGGGUGGCGGAAAGAUAUGUUUCGGUAAGGGAAGAGCUGGCGGCCUAUCAGCAUGUUGGUGGGGUAAUGGCGUACCAAGGCGUCGAAGGGUAGACGGCCUGAGAGUGUGGACGGCCGAAUUGGGACUGUGAGACGGACCAGACUCCUACGCGAGGCAGCAAUGGGGAAUAUUGCACAAUUGGCGCAUGCGUGAUGCAGCGACGCCGCGUGGGGGAUUACGGCCUUCGGUUUGUAGAUUCCUUUCAGCCAUGACGAAGCCCUUGUGAUGACGGUAGUGGUAGAAGAAGCACCGGCUAACUACGUG
rnacentral:rRNA from 1 species